UUAUAUCUGCUUUAAAGCUGACUGGGAAAAGUGGAAGAAAAGCACAGAUAUAUGAUAGGUAAAUGGGGGAAAAGCAAAAGAUCACAGAGAACCCUGUAUCUCGGUUUGGGUCUUCCUUGGUGGAAAUGUUUUGUCUGACAGCCGAUGGUUUAGUUUAAUACAGUCCACUUCAACCAGACUGGAGAGAAGACACAUGCAACUAUCUGGCACGAGAUUGUAGAUAGCAGUUAGUGGUGUAUUUCAAACUUUUGAUGAAGGAUGACAAAAAGUUGGACUUUUAUAGUCUGGUUUGAUUUUUAACUGCUUGAGUGACUGGUAAAACAAAUGGUUUGUAUGGCAUGGCUGAACAGAAUAGACUGACUAUCUCGUCAGCAGACAUCUUUACAUGUACUAAACUAGUACCUGAAAUUUACUGAGAGAAUAUGCACACAUGAAACAAGAUAUCCAAUGGAGUACUUCAAAAGACAGUCUGGUUCUGUUUCUUCAUAGAACAUUGAAAAAAGCCUUUCGCCUUGACAUUUAAGCAAGUGUAAAGAAUACCUUAUUGAAGUUCUUCAGUAGAGAGACCACAAAAAAUAGAGGGACAUGCUGUACUACAACUUGUCAAACAGACCAUUAUAGCUGUCACAAAAUGGAGCAAACACUCUUAUCUGAAUAAACGUCAAAGUGCUUAGCUUGAUUUCCUUACUAAAACAUGAUGUUAAUCAAAGUUUAAAAGUUAUACAAUUUUUGUAUGUUUUAGCCCUCUACAUGAAAACAGGAAUCAUUGUAAUUCGGAAGUGAUGUCAGUGAAGUUGGACAUAAAAAGACCACAGUAUGAUAUACUGUAAUUACCAGUGAAGGAAACAGCAGUGCCAUAAGAAACUAUUCAAUACAUGUAUUUGGAAAAAUUAAAAAUUUAUAAUAAAACUGAAGUUAUCAUGUACAGUAAUUAUAAUUCAGGAUUUCAGAGUGGACUGAUUUACUGAAACUAUUGCAGUUUAGUAGCCAAGCACUUUCUUAAACUGUUGUAAUAGAUCACAAUUUCUUAUAGAUUAUUAUCAAAAACUUUUUAUCAGAUAAAAGUGGCUGUUGACACCUUAUUUGUGACUAGUGAAUUAAAAACUAAUAACUAGUAAGAUUCUUCUGGGAAACAAAUUGUCAUAAUGCCUUCUGAGCACACGCAAACAUCUUUAGAUAUAGUAAAACAUGCACUGUGUUA
rnacentral:lncRNA from 1 species